CCCUACGGCCAUACCAGUCUGAAAGUGCCUAAUCUUGUCAGAUCUCAGAAGCCAUCCAGACUCGGGCAUGGUUAGUACUAGUAUGGGAGACCAACUAGGAACCUCAGGAUUCUGUUCUGG